rnacentral:rRNA from 1 species
AUUGAACGCUGGCGGCAUGCUUUACACAUGCAAGUCGAACGGUAACAGGGUGCUUGCACCGCUGACGAGUGGCGAACGGGUGAGUAAUGCGUCGGAACGUGCCGAGUAGUGGGGGAUAACGCAGCGAAAGUUGUGCUAAUACCGCAUACGUACUGAGGUAGAAAGUGGGGGACCUUCGGGCCUCACGCUAUUCGAGCGGCCGACGUCUGAUUAGCUGGUAGGUGAGGUAAAGGCUCACCUAGGCGACGAUCAGUAGCGGGCCUGAGAGGAUGAUCCGCCCAGCUGGGACUGGGACACGGCCCAGACUCCUACGGGGGGCAGCAGUGGGGAAUUUUGGACAAGGGGCGAAAGCCUGAUCCAGCCAUGCCGCGUGUCUGAAGAAGGCCUUCGGGUUGUAAAGGACUUUUGUCAGGGAGGAAAUCCCUAGUGCUAAUAACACUGGGGGAUGACAGUACCUGAAGAAUAAGCACCGGCUAACUACGUGCCAGCCGCCGCCGUAA